rnacentral:rRNA from 1 species
AGGACGAACGCUGGCGGCGGGCUUAACACAUGCAAGUCGAACGAAGCCUUCGGGCUUAGUGGCGCACGGGUGAGUAACACGUAGGCAACCUACCCUUAGCUGGGGAAUAACCAGGGGAAACCCUGGCUAAUACCGCAUAACGUCGUCGCGACCUCCUGGUCGUACGACCAAAGCUCUGGCGGCUGGGGAUGGGCCUGCGUCGGAUUAGCUAGUUGGUGGGGUAACGCCCACCAAGGCGACGAUCCGUAGCGGGUCUGAGAGGAUGAUCCGCCACACUGGCACUGAGACACGGGCCAGACUCCUACGGGAGCAGCAGUGAGGAAUAUUGCGCAAU